rnacentral:lncRNA from 1 species
CCUGGAUUAGCCCCGACCUGGUGCCGGAUCAGCUGUCCUGUCCCUGCAUCCUCAGGCAGCAGAGUUGAAACAUGUCGGAAAUGUCCUUCCUUACCACAAGGAACAUGUAUCAUGUUAGAGGACGGGGAUGAUAAGGUGGGGCGACCCAGGCAGAGAGCUGAGAGAGGAGGUGCCGGUGUUUGAAUGUGGGCAGCCUGGCCCCCAGUCGGAGCCGCUGGACGCCGUUCCAUCCCGCCUCUGAUAAAAGUCCCAACGGUCGGUGGGUGACAGACAUGAUGCCUGGCGGAACCCUGCUUGGCCUGGGGGUGCCAGGGGAUAGCCAAAGGGACUUUGUUCCUGAGGCACGGGGACGCACACCCAAGCUGCUGAGAUCACUCCUG